rnacentral:rRNA from 1 species
GAAUAUUUGACAAUGGGCGAAAGCCUGAUCCAGCCAUGCCGCGCGUGUGAAGAAGGUCUUCGGAUGGUAAAGCACUUUAAUUAGGGAGGAAUGGCAUUAAGCGAAUACCUUGCUUUUUUGGCGUUUCCGACAUAAUAAGCACCGGCUAACUUUCUGCCAGCAGCCGCGGUAAUACAGAGGGUUGAAGCGUGAAUCGGAAUUACGGGGCGGAAAGCGCGCGUAGGGGGUUCGUUAAGUUUGAUGUGAAAUCCCCGGGCUCAACCUGGGAACUGCAUCCAAAACUGGCGAGCUAGAGUAGGGCAGAGGGUGGUGGAAUUUCCUGUGUAGCGGUGAAAUGCGUAGAUAUAGGAAGGAACACCAGUGGCGAAGGCGACCACCUGGGCUCAUACUGACACUGAGGUGCGAAAGCGUGGGGAGCAAACA